GUUUUGAUAAAUCUCCAGAAUUUCACCAGAAUACCCCCUUUAAUGCUACCUUAUUGGGACCACUGACGCACCUUCUGUGUAGUGUUGGGGUCCAUGUUCUGCUGUUCCUUCACUCGAUGUUCUUGUUCAAGAAUUCCUUUUAAAUGUCCAUUUACCUGAAACGAGAUGGUGAUGAAGGCUAUAGAGGCUGGUCAGGGUGAUGCUAGACUCCGAGACAAGAUCCAACAACACAUCCUGCGAGAGCAGAGGAUGACACGUCGUCUCAGGAGAGCGGGAGGAGCUGGGGAGCUACUGAGACAACACCACACUGCCAAUGAGAGGACUACACAACUUCAUGUCAGGGGAGGAGGAAUAAGUGUGAUUUGCACCAAGGCUUUGCCGGUAAUUACACGUAUCUGUCACUGCGGAUUAGCAGCAUUACACGGCUCCGAGGACUCAUUCACUGCAGAAGAAUUUCAGCAAAUAUUUCCUCGCUUCAUCCUCCAUAUUCAUGAGCUGAACUGAGAGAGGACACGUCCCAACACGAGCUCCUAACCUGCGCUCCGGGACCCAAAUUUUAGGUGCGAAUAUAACAUUAACAUUCCAACAACUAAACGGGUCCGGAGCCAAAAAGAUAAAGAAUAUUUGAUUCUGAUUUCGGAAUUUCUCUGGUGAAUCACGAAGCGCAAGUCCACAAAAGCAAGAACCCUGGCUAAACAUGACCACCACUUAUACUAAGAAGUAGACUUUUGAACAAGUUAAAAUUGUAACUUUACUUUCAAAAAACCGGCAUGGUUUUGUUAGAUUAACCCUUUAGGAGUGGCAAUAUGUUUAUAUUGCCCAUAUGAUGGGAUUCCCCCUCCCGGAGUUAUGCAAACAGCGUUGCUUGCGGGGGCUACUUCCUUUGCGAAUCCAUCAUUUAAGUUAAUACAAACUACGCAAAUAGCGCACCUUCCCCGGUCUGACUGUUCCCGGCUUUUCUGACCACCUCUGGCCUCCGCAGACAAGCAGGAGCUGGCUGCAAAACUGAAACAGUGAGGUUGUGGUAUCUCGGUACAGGACCUUGUCCUGUCCCUUGUCUAAAGUCCCCUCAGCUAGAGUCCCUCCAUUCAUACAGGGCUCUCCUGCAAGGCUUACCCUUGGUCGCCUCAUGUAAAAUAUAUAGAAACUAUUAUGGACAUUUAUCAACGGGUUUAGUCAGGUUUUCUUUACUAUAAUUGUCGCAAAAUUGUCGCAACUGCGACUACGCGAUUUUUCGUGCGACAUUUUGACUGGAAAGCGAGAAAAGCAAGUUUUCCAAAAAUUAACUAUGUAGUAAUAAUUUUUAAAUGGACUACGGGUAGUCAGGUAUUUAUUAACUGCGACAGUCGCAACUGCGCAAAGAAAAGUCGCAGCAGCAUUAAAAAUUGACUAAAUUUACUCCAGCUCAAACAUGGAGCAGAAAAAGCUACUACCAAAGUAAAAAAGGAAAAAUUGCUUACGUGAAAGAAAAUUAUCAACGGGCUGAAACCAGUUGAUAAAUACGUCACACAUAGGCAAAACAAAAGUAAGGAAAAAAUUACUAAAAAAAAGAAUACAUAAGCAAACAUUGAUAAAUGUCCCUCUAUAUGUACAGGACCUUAGUGGUCACAUGAUGUACGGUUGUGAUAUACAGAAUGUUCAAGGACCUUAGAGGUCAUGUGAUGUACCCAGAGUUCUCUGGGUUCUUAACUUACAGGUUUGCUGACCAAUGAGCUUAGUCCAGCCCCUUAUUAUAUAAAGUGCUGUAGUCUGUAAAUUCUCUCUCUUAGUACCGGAUUAUCAGAGAAGCACAAUCAUCUCAGCAGAAAUCUCAAUUCAUCUAAGCCCAAAGCCUAAGAACCUUCCGCCACUACUCAAAGCUCCAUCUAUCAAAUCCUGUGUGACUACUAUCAGCUCAAAUCUUCUAAAAUAGUAGCACAGUGGUCUGCAAAAAAACUCAUUGCUUUCAAGUUCCAGCAAACCUUUGAGGAACCUGUAUCCCGGUUCACUCUUGAAAAGACUGUAUUGUUAAAGACUGUUUCAUAAAUUCCGCAA